rnacentral:lncRNA from 1 species
GAGCCCUCCAGGAAAUGGAGGCUAGGAAGGGUGUAAUGACCAGGGUGACAGUAGAAUUCGAACAGAUUGGUUUGCAGAUGCCCCAGGACACAAUGGCUGGAGGCACAGCCUUGGUGAAUAAGAAGGAAGCUGAGCCCUAUUGAGCCCAGGAUGUGACCAGAGGAACAUCUUGGAAAUGUACAUCAGAAUGACUGCCUCAUGAAAGGUUAAACAGUUCAUUAUGGAUGUGAGAUUUGUCAUAAGGAGAAUGCGUAACACUGCCAUUCACUGUAAGCUGAGUUUUGGAAUUUAUCAACUCUGCCCUGAUUCUUUCUUGCGUGAGACCAGUUGGAUCGCUGCUUGCAGUGCUACAGAAGUUCAAUUCCAGAUCUGGAGACUGUGGGAUUGGGGUGCAAGGCUAGAGAGGGCCCUGACCUUGUAUUUCCAGGAGAGCCUGUCUGGUGAUUGUCCGUCCUCCCGGAGAUGAAAGUGCCAGGACAGCAGAGAAAGGCGGACCUACUCCGUGGGUUCAGUAACCCUUCUCUUGGGCCUCUCACGGCUAUCUGAAUCCCUGAGGUGGAAUUAGGGAGGUUGAUGGCUAUGGGGGCAGGGCUGAGCUCAGUUAGGGAGGAGCUGGAAUUUCAAUACUGAAAACUUGGAUGGAGACAUUUUGCUAUUGGCAUGAACACCAUGGAUGUUUUAGCAACUAAACAGACUAGCCAACGCAAUCAGCCAUGAGGGUAGAGAGACUCUCCUUCCUAGACCCGGGGAAAGCCACAGGGGUGAAGAAGGGGCCAUCAGUGGGAACUGGGCCAGGAAGGGGACAGGAAAGAAAUGCCCCACUGGCCCUCUC